rnacentral:rRNA from 1 species
RAAAAACGACUCUCGGCAACGGAUAUCUCGGCUCUCGCAUCGAUG